ACCUGUGGAUCUUGAUCCCUUUGGGCUUUGAACAACCCUUUCACAGAGGUUGCCUAAAACCAUCAGAAAACACAGAUAUUUACAUUACAAUUCAUAACAGUAGCAAAAUUACAGUUAUGAAGUAGCAACAAAAAUAAUUUUAUGGUUGGGGCUCACCACAACAUGAGGAACUGUAUUAAAAGGUUGAGCCAUUGGGAAGGUUGAGACCACUGCAUUAGUGAAUGAGGG